UUAUCAGGUCACGCUGCUGUGUGACUGUAUAAAUCCACUCCGUGUACCCCAUCCCGUUGCUUCCGCUGGGUGUGCCCGGAGCAUUCUGGGACGAGCUUCCAAUUAACGCGAGGCCUANUUCUGUGCUGAGAAGCUUCCCAUAAAAGCGUGGCCUANUUCUGCGCCGUGAAGCUUCCAAUAAAAGUGCGGCCUAGAUAUGUCUGUGCUGUGAUGUUGGCGGCGUUUGCAGAACGCUUCGGACUUAUACCCACCCAGCGGGAGAAUAAAAUAAUCUCUUGGGUGUUUUUACUAUUGAAUCUGUCUGAACGAGAAGAACCAAAGAAUUGUUAAAACUUUCAGCAACGGAUCUCUUGGUUCUCGCAUCGAUGAAGAACGCANCGAAAUGCGAUAAGUAGUGUGAAUUGCAGAAUUCCGUGAAUCAUCGAAUCUUUGAACGCACAUUGCGCCUUUCGGUAUUCCGAAAGGCAUGCCUGUUCGAGAGUCAUAAAACCCUGUCAACUCCUGCUUGAUUUACUUUCAAGGGACUUGGUUAUGGUGGAAGAGGAGAGGAAAACAUCUGUAAGGAUCCUCUCCUCCCCAUCAAAAUUCAAUGGCGGGUCCGUACCCACCCUCUGCUGAAGUGAGGCGUUGUAAAAGCUGUCAAGCACUUUUCGCCAACCAGCAGUUGGGAACGUUGGGCUCAUUGCCGUUAUCUAAAAACACCCCCUCCAAAGGUUGACCUCGGAUCAGGUAGGGAUACCCGCUGAACUUAAGCAUAUCAAUAAGCGGAGGAAAAGAAACCAACAGGGAUUGCCCCAG
rnacentral:rRNA from 1 species